GGGUUGUGAGGUUAAGCGACUAAGCGUACACGGUGGAUGCCCUGGCAGUCAGAGGCGAUGAAGGACGUGCUAAUCUGCGAUAAGCGUCGGUAAGGUGAUAUGAACCGUUAUAACCGGCGAUUUCCGAAUGGGGAAACCCAGUGUGUUUCGACACACUAUCAUUAACUGAAUCCAUAGGUUAAUGAGGCGAACCGGGGGAACUGAAACAUCUAAGUACCCCGAGGAAAAGAAAUCAACCGAGAUUCCCCCAGUAGCGGCGAGCGAACGGGGAGCAGCCCAGAGCCUGAAUCAGUGUGUGUGUUAGUGGAAGCGUCUGGAAAGGCGCGCGAUACAGGGUGACAGCCCCGUACACAAAAAUGCACAUGCUGUGAGCUCGAUGAGUAGGGCGGGACACGUGGUAUCCUGUCUGAAUAUGGGGGGACCAUCCUCCAAGGCUAAAUACUCCUGACUGACCGAUAGUGAACCAGUACCGUGAGGGAAAGGCGAAAAGAACCCCGGCGAGGGGAGUGAAAAAGAACCUGAAACCGUGUACGUACAAGCAGUGGGAGCACAGAGCAAUCUGUGUGACUGCGUACCUUUUGUAUAAUGGGUCAGCGACUUAUAUUCUGUAGCAAGGUUAACCGAAUAGGGGAGCCGAAGGGAAACCGAGUCUUAACUGGGCGUUAAGUUGCAGGGUAUAGACCCGAAACCCGGUGAUCUAGCCAUGGGCAGGUUGAAGGUUGGGUAACACUAACUGGAGGACCGAACCGACUAAUGUUGAAAAAUUAGCGGAUGACUUGUGGCUGGGGGUGAAAGGCCAAUCAAACCGGGAGAUAGCUGGUUCUCCCCGAAAGCUAUUUAGGUAGCGCCUCGUGAAUUCAUCUCCGGGGGUAGAGCACUGUUUCGGCAAGGGGGUCAUCCCGACUUACCAACCCGAUGCAAACUGCGAAUACCGGAGAAUGUUAUCACGGGAGACACACGGCGGGUGCUAACGUCCGUCGUGAAGAGGGAAACAACCCAGACCGCCAGCUAAGGUCCCAAAGUCAUGGUUAAGUGGGAAACGAUGUGGGAAGGCCCAGACAGCCAGGAUGUUGGCUUAGAAGCAGCCAUCAUUUAAAGAAAGCGUAAUAGCUCACUGGUCGAGUCGGCCUGCGCGGAAGAUGUAACGGGGCUAAACCAUGCACCGAAGCUGCGGCAGCGACGCUUAUGCGUUGUUGGGUAGGGGAGCGUUCUGUAAGCCUGUGAAGGUGUACUGUGAGGUAUGCUGGAGGUAUCAGAAGUGCGAAUGCUGACAUAAGUAACGAUAAAGCGGGUGAAAAGCCCGCUCGCCGGAAGACCAAGGGUUCCUGUCCAACGUUAAUCGGGGCAGGGUGAGUCGACCCCUAAGGCGAGGCCGAAAGGCGUAGUCGAUGGGAAACAGGUUAAUAUUCCUGUACUUGGUGUUACUGCGAAGGGGGGACGGAGAAGGCUAUGUUGGCCGGGCGACGGUUGUCCCGGUUUAAGCGUGUAGGCUGGUUUUCCAGGCAAAUCCGGAAAAUCAAGGCUGAGGCGUGAUGACGAGGCACUACGGUGCUGAAGCAACAAAUGCCCUGCUUCCAGGAAAAGCCUCUAAGCAUCAGGUAACAUCAAAUCGUACCCCAAACCGACACAGGUGGUCAGGUAGAGAAUACCAAGGCGCUUGAGAGAACUCGGGUGAAGGAACUAGGCAAAAUGGUGCCGUAACUUCGGGAGAAGGCACGCUGAUAUGUAGGUGAAGUCCCUCGCGGAUGGAGCUGAAAUCAGUCGAAGAUACCAGCUGGCUGCAACUGUUUAUUAAAAACACAGCACUGUGCAAACACGAAAGUGGACGUAUACGGUGUGACGCCUGCCCGGUGCCGGAAGGUUAAUUGAUGGGGUCAGCGCAAGCGAAGCUCUUGAUCGAAGCCCCGGUAAACGGCGGCCGUAACUAUAACGGUCCUAAGGUAGCGAAAUUCCUUGUCGGGUAAGUUCCGACCUGCACGAAUGGCGUAAUGAUGGCCAGGCUGUCUCCACCCGAGACUCAGUGAAAUUGAACUCGCUGUGAAGAUGCAGUGUACCCGCGGCAAGACGGAAAGACCCCGUGAACCUUUACUAUAGCUUGACACUGAACAUUGAGCCUUGAUGUGUAGGAUAGGUGGGAGGCUUUGAAGUGUGGACGCCAGUCUGCAUGGAGCCGGCCUUGAAAUACCACCCUUUAAUGUUUGAUGUUCUAACGUUGACCCGUGAUCCGGGUUGCGGACAGUGUCUGGUGGGUAGUUUGACUGGGGCGGUCUCCUCCUAAAGAGUAACGGAGGAGCACGAAGGUUGGCUAAUCCUGGUCGGACAUCAGGAGGUUAGUGCAAUGGCAUAAGCCAGCUUGACUGCGAGCGUGACGGCGCGAGCAGGUGCGAAAGCAGGUCAUAGUGAUCCGGUGGUUCUGAAUGGAAGGGCCAUCGCUCAACGGAUAAAAGGUACUCCGGGGAUAACAGGCUGAUACCGCCCAAGAGUUCAUAUCGACGGCGGUGUUUGGCACCUCGAUGUCGGCUCAUCACAUCCUGGGGCUGAAGUAGGUCCCAAGGGUAUGGCUGUUCGCCAUUUAAAGUGGUACGCGAGCUGGGUUUAGAACGUCGUGAGACAGUUCGGUCCCUAUCUGCCGUGGGCGCUGGAGAACUGAGGGGGGCUGCUCCUAGUACGAGAGGACCGGAGUGGACGCAUCACUGGUGUUCGGGUUGUCAUGCCAAUGGCACUGCCCGGUAGCUAAAUGCGGAAGAGAUAAGUGCUGAAAGCAUCUAAGCACGAAACUUGCCCCGAGAUGAGUUCUCCCUGACUCCUUGAGAGUCCUGAAGGAACGUUGAAGACGACGACGUUGAUAGGCCGGGUGUGUAAGCGCAGCGAUGCGUUGAGCUAACCGGUACUAAUGAACCGUGAGGCUUAACCUUACAACGCCGAAGGUGUUU
rnacentral:rRNA from 1 species